rnacentral:piRNA from 1 species
UUACCAGAUGGUGAAAGGCAAACAUAAG